GUGUCAGCCGCCGCGGUAAGACGGAGGAUGCAAGCGUUAUCCGGAAUGAUUGGGCGUAAAGCGUUCGCAGGUGGCUGUUCAAGUCGGCUGUCAAAGACCGGGGCUUAACCCUGGAAAGGCAGUGGAAACUGAACGGCUAGAGUGCAGAUCGGGUAGAGGGAAUUCCCAGUGUAGCGGUGAAAUGCGUAGAGAUUGGGAAGAACACCGGUGGCGAAAGCGCUCUGCUGGACUGCAACUGACACUGAGGGACGAAAGCUAGGGGAGCGAAAGGGAUUAGAAACCCCCGUAGUCC
rnacentral:rRNA from 1 species